rnacentral:sRNA from 1 species
GCUGGGCACAGUGGCGCAUGCCUGUAAUCCCAGAAGCUAGGGAGGCUGAGACAAGAGGAUUGUGAGUUCACAGCCAACCUCAGAAAUGGUGAGGCACUAAGCAACUCAGUGAGACCCUGUCUCUA